rnacentral:lncRNA from 1 species
AUGCAGGAUCUCUAUCUUUUAUUUUGUAUGUCUUUAAAACUUCCUCUUCAAAAGGCUGAUCUCUUACUUCUCCGUUUUCAGGUGACUGAAAACUCCCGAGGCAUUUCCUGGAGUAGAAUGGGUAGUGAAGAGCCAUGUCAGCGAUCAGAGGACCCCGGAAACCAGGAGAGCUGCCUGCUGUGUGGAGGCUGGCCUGAGGGCAUUUGCUGAGCACAGAAACCCUGGAGGGAUCAGCAGUCUUUCCCACUCCACCUCUUGAUCUGUCUGAUUUGCACACAGAAAGCCAGCCAGGAUCCCCUAAGAGAGUCUCUAGGCCCAGAACGGAGUCCUCAGGGCUGCAGGGGGCUGUGAUGCUAACAAUUAAACCCGCUCAGGACUUC